CUCCCUAAAAAAAGUAACUACCGUAUUGACCCGAAUAAUAUAUAUACAAAUGUAAAGCUCUUUCACAGCAAAAGUGAAGUGAAUGCGGCUCAGACUGAAGGAGAUGUAGAUUCACGUCUGUACAGUAGAGGACGCUCAAACUAAUCACAUGAAGAAUAUGACGCAGGAGAAGAAAGAUCAACACUAUUCAGCAAUAACUAAAAUAUAACACAAAUGUGUCAUUUUUUAUUAUUAGUACAGUUGAAGUGAAUCAUCGAAGCAGGUUGUUGGUGAGUUUGAGGCGGUCGAAUGAGACGGUCUGUUUGACCCACUGCGCUCCUCGAGCCGGAGAGUCCGGGUGGAAGUGCACUCGUCCCGGGGCGGCUAUAUCUCCGCGUCCAGCUACCAGCCACGAGGAGCUGUGGAAGGCGUACCUGCACACAACAUCCAGAGCUUCAGAAACAUGCGAAUAAAGUCCAUUAGGAGAACAUAUUCUGCAGCAGGAUCCAUGCCUGAAAUGUGUACUUGAAAUGUAGGAAACAUCCUUCUGUAUGAACACAAACAACAGCAGUCAAUAUAUGCUGAUCACAGACUUAUCAUAAUGCAAAUCAUCAUCAUCAUCAUCAUCAUCAUCAUCGCUCAGAUCCCUAACCCCAACUACUGUAGUUUAGUGUGUAAGUCAACAAACAACCGCCCAGAACCUCAAAAAGCCCGCAGCAGCUUCACUACUCACAUGUUCUUCAGACAACCUAAACAUGGAAUUGCUAACAUAACGCUACACAGAGAUGUAUUAGCAAAGGAGUGAUGUCUGGUGAAACCUUCCAGCUUUUGUCACAAUCAUCUCAGUGCCGAGCUGGUCGAACUGCCGCCACAGGCUCUGCAUCUCCAGCUGAACCCUGACGCUGGCCACCUCCGGAGCUUUGCUGCAGGUCCGAGACGACUCCGGGACUGCAGAUACACACAUCAGGUACAAAUAAAGCACAAUCUGAAUAUUACCAUUCAUCAUUGCUGCUGGUCCAGUGUCCAGCUGGUCUUCCUCACACUCCGUGCGUCUGCGGCUCAGGACGCUUCAGACCGGCCUUUAUAUAAUCUGAGAGAUUUCUG